GUUGCUACAUCGCUACCAACAUUUGGAAUCUGAUCCUGUUACAUGUAAUUAUAACCAUAUGAAAGCAAUAAGAAGCAUCAGGGACAAUGAAUUGGAUGUCAUACAUCGUGUAAUUUUAGCCGAGUUGAAUAGGAAAGUUGUAACUUAUAUUAGGUGUUGUACGUGUAUGUUCCCCUUGAGUUGAAUCGAUCAGCAUUGUCCAGCGUGUGUACAUGCGUUCAUGGAGGAAAUCGAUCAACCUGGUCAGCUUUUGUAAGAAAUCGAUCAACCUGGUCAGCUCGAGUAUUUGCGUGGAUUCCCUCGGUCAAAAUCAGCCCAUGGCAGGGUAACGACCGAACUACCUUUGAAAACGCACGGCGGCCGAGAUGCAUCUACUAUUUUGUAGAUAUAUAAAGCUGAAUCCCCAUUUGAUUUUCUGCUUGCUAAUGAAACCACACGUAACAUGGUUGCAAGUCACACUUGAUCGAUCCUAACUGAUGGCCUCACGUACAUGGAGAAAAACGAUCUUGUACAUCGAGUAGGCCGGAGUUGCAGCCGAAUACGCUGAUUCGGGGCGAAAUCUCUGGUAAUUGAACAUAGCAUAGCAUUAGACCUAAUGCAGAUUUAUAAAAAAGAUAACUAUAUUUUCCAGGUUUCAAUCUAUAGAGGGUCAAUGCAUCGUAAAUUCAAAGAAUGAAAGUCCCAAAAGAAAGAUGACACAUAAUAGUUUAUAGACCAAUCACCUGGCUGCCCUACGCAUUGGUUGCCGAGGCUUCACCGGAAUCAAUCCACCUGCCUACUUGCACAUCGAUCCUGUGUACAUGUACAUGUGCAUAUUGCUACUAACUGAAGCAUCGACUGUCAAAGAAUUCUUAGAUUGGUCUACGUACCAGUUCUGCAAGUUCUUCAGCCGGCAAAUAAUUGACAGAGCCAGCUUUUUUCUGAUCGACGGGUAAUCGGCAAGGGCAACAGUCCAUCGACAGAGACAUGGGAUUGCAUCACCGAUGGAUCUUCAAGAGCUAUGACUGCAUUAGAACAUGAAGGAGGCGUAAGAGGAACACCGGCCAAUGAGCUAUGGAAGAGAGAUUGGAGAGAUGAUGAUGUGCAUGUUUUGAGGGAUUCCAUGAGGAAUUGCACGUGACGGCUGCAGUAGAUACACACAUGACCUUUUAUUUUUUUAAAGAAAACGCAUGACCUAAUUAACAUGGGAAGAUCAAAAAAAGUUGUUAGGAUUGUGAUCCGUGAUAAUUUGAG
rnacentral:lncRNA from 1 species